AAGAAUGGAAAAUACGACUUGAACGGCUUCUUUGGGAAUGGUGGCUACCAAGGUUAACCACAACGACAACUAUCAUCUGCCGUUGUAAAUUAUUUUUCCGCUGUUUCCAAGUGUACAUUAUUCUUACUCUCUUCUGUCUGUAGAAUAGUCCGUGUGUUUUUGUUUGUUUGUAGUGAUAUCAUUUAGACGUUUGGAGUUGUUAGGUUAUCUGUUCAUGUUUAUUGUGAUGUGUCUUCAUUACCUUUAUGUCAUGCACUUACUGUUUACUCUACAUGAAAAGAUUUAGUUAGAGGAGCAAAGAAGUCAGUUAGUUUUUUUUUUUUUUUUUUUAAAUUGAUGCUAUUUACUCAAACUAAUCCUGUAAAAUGCAAAGCAGUCAAUUUAUUUUGCAUGGGAAAGGUUUUCACUACUUGUUGCAAAGCAUCUGUUUAUAACUGUACAGAAUUUGAAUAAAACCAUCAAUGAAUACCGACAAUA